GGCAUUUUAAAUUUGGGAUCUUCGGUGCCUUGAGGUGCAGGUCAGGCAUUUUAAAUUUGGGGCCCUUCAGUUUCCCUUCUGGACCAUGAAUAUCAAUAUCAGGAGUGUCAAUGUCCACUUUGGGUCCUGAGACAUCAAUGUCAGCUUUGGGCAAAUUAACAUCCACUUCUGGGCCCUCUCCUUUAAAUCCUGGCAUGCUGAAUUUGGGCAUUUUCACCUUGGGCAUCUUCAGGUGCCAGUCUGGGCCAUGAACAUCCACAUCUGGGGCAUCAAUGUCCAUUUUGGGUCCUUUGAUGUCAACAUCUGGCACUUUCAUUUCACCUUCUACCUUGGGCACAGACACAUCCAUAUCCCCUUUGACUUUGGGGCCUUUCAGGUGUAAGUCCACAUCAGGCAUGGAGAUCUUGGGGGCCUUGAAGUGCAUCUCAGGCAUCUUAAACUUGGGCCCUUUCAACUUUGCAUCAGGACACUCCAGAUCAACAUCGGGCAUGGAGAUCUUGGGGGCCUUGAAAUGCAUCU
rnacentral:lncRNA from 1 species